rnacentral:rRNA from 1 species
GGCAACCCUGAUCCAGCCAUGCCGCGUGUGUGAAGAAGGCCUUAGGGUUGUAAAGCACUUUCAGUAGGGAGGAAGGCCCAGUAGUUAAUACCUGCAGGGAUUGACGUUACCUACAGAAGCAGCACCGGCUAACUCCGUGCCAGCGGCCGCGGUAAUACGGAGGGUGCAAGCGUUAAUCGGAAUUACUGGGCGUAAAGCGCGCGUAGGCGGUUUGUUAAGUGAGAUGUGAAAGCCCGGGGCUCAACCUUGGAACUGCAUCUCAUACUGGCAGGCUAGAGUACGGUAGAUGUAUGUAGAAUUCCA